UACAAAAUGUAAAAAAGAAAUAUUGUAUAAAAUUUGUAUAAAAAUUAUAUUUAAGUCGUUCACGAAUAAACGUAAUAGUAAGAGUUAGUUUUAAGUGUGAGGCGUUAAAUAUUGGUAGAAUAUCUCAAUUUGAUUGUAGCCAUUAUUAAAACUCAGUAUCUAGUUAUUACCAUCUCUGUUUUAAAAGGCAGAGUUGGGACUCACCCCAGGGCGGAGCACUUGUAAAACGCUCCUGAGUGUGUGGGACUUAGUUCUGUGAGACUUAUGCCUCAGUUGUCUAGGCUUACGCCCCGGACACGCCAAAAGCCCAACGUACCAGGCUCGCCUAAUAGAACUUUGUGCAAUUGUGUGUAACUAACAUUGUAAAUCCUUAAAUUUUUUUAAAAAAUCAUUGACUAUUCAAAAUUACUUUUUUUUCUUAAUCAUAAAUCAUUAAGUUAAGAGUAUUUUAUGUCAUAAUUAAAAUAAUUAUUGCACGUUAUCCACUAACAACUAGGAUAUUAAAUUUCAAUAAAUCUUUCAUUUAAAAAGUGUUAACUUUGCAUGAGUAUUCAAGUAUGACCAUCAAAUACAAUCAGGUUCCACAAGUAUUAAUUAGUCAUCACUUUAAUAUAUCUUCACUAUUAUCAUCAAUACUUAACCACCAAAAAUACAUAUUUUAGCAAUGAAAUAAGAGUUGUUGCCUAGAAAGAGAGAUAUUACCUUCCAACAGAAAAUGGAGGCCAUUCAUUAUAUAGAUCAAAAGGUAGACAAACCCAUAUUAAAUUAAUUAGAAGGUCGAGAAUGUGGUUUGCUUUCCAUUAACAGCUGAAUCUAUAAGAAGACAUGACAUACCAUCAAUGGAAAAACCAGAAAGGUCCGACAUUAAAAGAGUGAAGACGAAAGAGAAGCACAUAAUAAAGUUUGGGAACUCACAAAGAGAGAGAGAACACCCAAAGCAACGAAGGAGAAAGUGAAUUGCAGAGUCUGAGACCCAAAAUCUAUCCAAAGGGAUACACCCUGGUUGGGUGCAAUACACCUAUUUGGAGAUUUUCAAUACACUCCUAGAACUGGAGAUGGAUUUGUUCUUUGUUUUUGUUGAAUAUUUUUUGUUGAAUAGACUUCGGGACUUCAUUGAGAAGACUCAAACAUGACAAAAAUGAUUAUCUGAGAUUUUGAGGAGGUUUCAGGUAAAGUUCAUCUUGUGUAAUUUGAGAUUGACACUAAGCAGUAAGCACGAACAGACUGCUGCAAUUUAUUCUUCCCUACUUCCUUCUGUUAGCCGCUCUCUAUGAUCUGUUGCUUCUUUGCUACAAACCUAAAUUCAUCACCUUGAAUCACUUUCUUUAUUUAAGAGUUAGGCUUCAUUCAAGACUCAAAAAGCUUCUGCUUGCUACUAACUGGUCAAGUUUCAAGUCUCAAAGUGUAGGUUUUAAGGCUUAAUUUAAGCUUCUGCCUGCUACCAAGUCUUGCGAUUGGGUUCAAAAAUCGGACAUCACCAAGAUUUCAGGGAAGUAACAUGGAUCACUUAAAAAAACAAGAACAGAGUAAAACUCACAAGUACUGAAAACAUAAUUUAGUUCAAAAAAUUGGUACAGCUUCAAGUACAGUUGUAAAAACAAUUUAGUUCAAUUUAAUUCACAUACAAACUCUUGAGUAACAUACUGCAGUACACAGAAAUUUAAAGGAGGAGAUAGAGAAGGAAGCAAGAAGUACUCACUUGUUUCAGCUAGCAGGCAGAGACACCAAAAGGAACAGAGUAGUAAGCCGGCAAGCAAAAAAAAAAAUGAAAAGAAAACCCAAAUAGAACAGAAGCUAUUGCAGGUGUUAUUGGCAGUCACCCCUAAUCGGAUAUCAUCCAAAAGCAGGUGUUACACAUCUGGAAGAACAGCUGACAGCAGCAGAAGCAAGAAUCGGUUUGUCUUCCACGUCGAUAGAGGAUGAGAAAGCGCGUAUUGAAGAGAGUGCGAAGGCAAAAGGCGCUGCAGAAAGUAUAAAGGAAGAUGCUCGGACAGAUACUUGUUACUAAACAAACUGGAGCUCAAGGAAAAGUUGUCAGCAAGGGUAGAACGCUGGGAGCAAAUAUAGGCGGCUGGGAGCAAAAUCAAUGGAAAACACACUUGAGGGAAAGAACAAGAGCAAAAAUUAGUAGCCAACGUGAAUCUAAGUUGAAUAAUUGCCAUUUAUGGCUAACUGUAGUUCCUGCACUUCCUUUUUCUCCAUAUCAGCAAGCAUGUUCUAGCAACAUUGUUGACAGGAAUAUGGAUAAUUUAGAGCGUGCUUGGAUGUACGAGAGGUUGGAUGGCCGAGGGGGUACUAAUUCUAAUUUUGUAACUGGCGUGGAUAGCUUUCUCCUGUUUGCGCGUUCUCAGCGAAAUCACAUGAGUGGCUGUUGAAAAGGGUCGAGACCCAACACCAAGUGAGUUACAUUUGUACGUCCAUACACAUAGGUAUGAUAGAAAUUCUUUUCUUGAUGAGAAUGCUCGAAUCGUGCAUGAAAGGUAUCAGGAAAUAUUACAGGAACAAACACAAACUCAAUCUGAAUAUUGAUCAAUGGAAAGCGUAUUAUGAAGCCGCGGGAGGGGAGAAGAAGAGAAGAGUAUAUGGUCUUGGAUCUCAAGCAAAAUGCUACUAUGGACCGAAUCUUCAUGGCUCUUCUGGAUCAGAUACUUCAUCAUCAAUACCAUCUUCGAGUGCUCAAUCAGCAUCGAACCUGAAUGAGUUAGUGACGCGUUUGAUUCCUGCACUAACAGAGCACAUUAAGUCUUGUGCUAUCUGAUCAUAUGCUUCCAGUAUUGACUGAGCGGGUGCGUGAAAUGAUUUCAUCACCCUCGCUGACUUCUACUAACCACCCAUCAGAUGUGGUACCAACAAUUCAUGCUCCUACUACUACUGCUACUAUUCAUGGGGUUCGUCCAUCGGUGUCAGAUGAUGACCUUAACCCCUUAGACUCGUAUUUGGAAGCUUUUUGUUUUGAACUUUAUUGUUGGUGUUAUGGAUAAUUCGCACCUUUUUGGUUUGAACUUUAUUAUUGGUGCUAGGGAUAAUUCGAACUUAAUUGUAUUAGCUAUAUGCAUUUUGAUAAUUCGAACAACGGGCAUUUUGAUAUCA